CUCUCUCAUAGCGAGCCGCUUCUUCCU
rnacentral:piRNA from 1 species